UCGGUGUCCGAGUUGUAAUUUGAAGAUUGUAACCUUGGGGUUGGCUCUUGUCUAUGUUUCUUGGAACAGGACGUCACAGAGGGUGAGAAUCCCGUGCGAUGAGAUGCCCAAUCCUAUGUAAGGUGCUUUCGAAGAGUCGAGUUGUUUGGGAAUGCAGCUCUAAGUGGGUGGUAAAUUCCAUCUAAAGCUAAAUAUUGGCGAGAGACCGAUAGCGAACAAGUACAGUGAUGGAAAGAUGAAAAGAACUUUGAAAAGAGAGUGAAAAAGUACGUGAAAUUGUUGAAAGGGAAGGGUUUGAGAUCAGACUCGAUAUUUUGUGAGCCUUGCCUUCGUGGCGGGGUGACCCGCAGCUUAUCGGGCCAGCAUCGGUUUGGGCGGUAGGAUAAUGGCGUAGGAAUGUGACUUUACUUCGGUGAAGUGUUAUAGCCUGCGUUGAUGCUGCCUGCCUAGACCGAGGACUGCG
rnacentral:rRNA from 1 species